GAUGAACGCUGGCGGCGUGCUUAACACAUGCAAGUCGAACGGAAAGGCCCAAGUUUGCUUGGGUACUCGAGUGGCGAACGGGUGAGUAACACGUGGGUGAUCUGCCCUUCACUUUGGGAUAAGCCUGGGAAACUGGGUCUAAUACCGGAUCGGACCACCUUCUGGAUGGUGUGGUGGAAAGUUUUUCGGUGUGGGAUGAGGUCUCGGCCGAUUAUCUUGUUGUUGGGGUAUUGGCCUACCAAAGGGUCGAGGGGUAGCCGGCCUGAGAGGGUGUACGGCCACAUUGGGAGAGGGAUACGUCCCAGACGCCUACGGGAGGCAGGAGUGGGGGAUAUUGUACAAUGGGGGCGAGCCUGAUAUAGUGACGCCGCGUGGGGGGUGAGGGCCUUCGGGUGGUGAAGUCCGUUUGCUACGGACGAAGCGUUUUAGUGACGGUACCUGGAGAAGAAGCACCGGCUAACUACGUG
rnacentral:rRNA from 1 species